GUCUACGGCCAUACCACCCCGAACAUGCCCGAUCUCAUCUGAUCUCAGAAGCUAAGCAAGGUUGGGCCUGGUUAGUACUUGGAGGGCAGAAGACU
rnacentral:rRNA from 1 species